UGAAUACUCGCAUAUUUGUAAGGAAAACUGAUCUUCCGGUUAUUUUAUUUAUUUUGUUAUAACGCAGUACAGCAAGGCAGACUGUGGAAAGCAGUAGAGAUCGACAACAUGGCGGACGGAGGACGGAUAUAAGGACGAAGUCAUGAAGCCGACACUCCACAGAAUGGGAGUCACAUUUGUGUUAAUCAGACUCUUCAGGAACGUCCUGAUGUCCGUGACAAGGACAGAGAAGCAACUGUGUGUGAGUAUCUACUAUUUUAGAAUGUUGAUAUUUUAUGCUUCAAUAUUGUUUAUGUACAUAAUGGAAUUAUGCUAUGUAUUGACAAUGCACAAAAAUGUUUUCCAUCUGCAUCCAGGACCUACUGCCAGUCAUCCAGAUGUAGCUCAAGAAAGAAGCAGCUGAUGGAGGAAGGCAGAGAGUACUGGCAGCAGAGGAGGUGGCAUUCUGGGAGGAUGGCAGCUAUGAGGGGGUAUCAGGAUGGACUGUGGUGAGGUUGAGACCCCAAGUUCCCCCAACCAGGAGCUCAGUGACGUCGGGCCUACGCUACAGGAGAGACGUCGGGCCUGUCCUGUACGCAGCAUAAUGUUGGAUCAUGUUUGGACAAAAAAAAAAAAAACACUGCCAGAUAAUCCAGAAAUGGACAAGCAUUUAUGUCUUAUUUUGUGUGCAAACAG